rnacentral:misc_RNA from 1 species
AUGGCCCUUCCAAUAGCAGCAUGUUCAUUUUGAAGCGUAUCAUGGUAGAGAAAGGCACUGCUGUCUAUUUAAGUGGGCUACGGGAGAAAUAUUUUGGUGAACUCUUCUUGAAUGCUUAUACUGUUCUUGGAGGUUCACUACAGGCUGAAGAAUCAAAUUCCCUCUUGCUAAAUGCAAGACCUGAUCUGCAUGAUUCCGUGGGAAUAUAUGAAUCAGCGGAUCUAGAAAGGCAAGGCACUUUGAGGUUCAGGCAAGGCACUUUGAGGUUCGACAAAGUGUAUGGUAAAAAGGAGGAUAUGCAGAGAACUGCCUUUGAGGAUGGCCUUAAUCACAUUGCCAGAUAUGUAGAGUCUUUCGAGUCUCGAUCCAAUGAGAUAUGGCUCGUGUUUCGCCAUGAAGGGAUAUCCUUAUCAAAGCUUCUCUAUACAGCUGAAGAAGUGAUAAAUGAUUCAGAGGGAGGAAAUGAAAAUAUAAAGCAUAUUCAGAUAUUACAUCCAUCAAAAUGGUGGAAAUGGUUGAAGACAACAGAAGCAGGGCGACAAGAAAUGCGUAAUCUGAUUUGGCAAUUGUUGAUGUCACUUAAGUCUUGUCAUGAUCGCAAUAUCACCCAUAGAGAUAUAAAACCUG